AGUACCUGGUGAGCGUCCCCUUGAAGAUGUUCCGGCUGUGGGCGUUCAUGGGCAUGAUGGCUCAGAUCCCCCUGGCCUGGUUCGUGAGCCGCUUUCUCCGGGGCAACUACGGGAACGCAGCGGUGUGGAUGUCCUUGAUCAUCGGUCAGCCGAUCGCCGUCCUCAUGUACGUCCACGACUACUACGUGCUGAAUUACGAAGGGAGCCAGUGAGAGAGACUCUCCGUCCUGCCUCUCCCUCCUGAGGAUCAGUUGGGGGGGGGCAGCCUCCUCCCUCCGGCCUUUUCUGCUGCCUCCCUGGAGGCCCAGAUCCAUUGAGGGCACCAGCCCAGGGAACGAAGGCGAUUCUCCUCCGGAGUGUGUGUGUGUCUGUGUGGGGAGGCAGCCUCACGUGUGUUAUCUUGUCUGUGUGCGUGUGUGUGCGUGUGCGUGCGCGUGGUGGUUGCCUAUCCGUUACUCUUGAGUCCGAACAUAUUGGAUCGAUGCAAUAACCUUCCUGGUGCCCGAGUUUUUAGCUGGUCCUCUGGCAGGAUUUGGUCCCUUGAGCCGUUGCCUUCCAUCUGUGCAAUAGAGGACUGAUGCCAAGCGUGCCUGGCAGGGCAGAGGGAAGCCGGGCCACUCAAGACGGGCGGGCAAAGGGGGCUGCCUCCCUGGCACUUUAGAAGGACUCAGGUUCAUUUGGGGGCCUCGCCAGCCCCAUCAGCGGGUGAGAGCAGCCCCCUCCCUCCGCUCUGCCGUCUUUCUCGGGCCGGCCUUUCCCAGGACCAGGCUCCUCUUUGCCCCUCCGUCCUGACGCAACUGGGGCCGAGCUCUGCACAGCCAUGGGGCCCUUUGGGGGAGAGGCCCCUGGGACUCCGUCCGGGAGGCAGGAGCCGUGUCCGAUUCCUGGGGUGGGGUGGGGGACUCCGUGGCUCGGCCCCGUUUUUGUCAACCCUUUUUAAAGAGUUUGCAGAAUUUAUUCUGCCCGGUACGAAGUGAAUAAAGCAUAUUUUCAAAAGG